AGGCUCACGUAUGUUAAGGACUGUUGUGACUUCUUGGAGAAUUGAAACCUUUAUCGUUAUGUAAUGCCCUUCUUUAUCCUUGAAACUUUCCUUACUUUAAAGUCUAUUCUGUUUAAA